AUGAUCCAAGUCAAGUUCGCCCUGCCAAAAGAGGCCACAAUAAGCUCUGCUCCCAGGACUACACUGGCUCUGUCUGCUCAGGGACCCUGCAAGGUUGGUCUCGGUUUGUUUCUGAUUUUAACCACCCUAACCCACGACCUUCCUGCUGAGGUGACCCCGACCCUGAAUCACCACCCGCAGGCCUCCCCGCCCUUCUCCUCUCCAGCCCACGACCCUGGACACACCGCAGGAUGCUGGGCCUUCCAACCCGCCCUGCGGCCGUUUUCUAGAAGGUUCCUCGCCCUCUGUCCAGAGCUCCCAGGGCCUCCCCGCCCAGCCGGCAGCCCGAGCCAGGCCCGAGGCGGCCACUCGCCCUCCCUCCGCGACACCGGGGCCCGCGCCCAAAGAAGAACAGUGCUGGGGGAAAUGGCUGAACGGCCGGGGAAGGUCGAGGUUCGGGGAGCGACUGCUGCAGCCGCUGGAAGCGCAGGUGCUCGCCACGACGCUCCGCCCCGCCCCGCUCUGCCCUCCCCCCGCCGGGAGCCCGGCGCCCCCUGCCGGUCGCGCGCGGGUGCGCGGGGUCUGCGCAGGCGCGGGCGGGGCGGGGCGUCCGGGCGGGCCGGGCACCCGCAGGGUUGGCGUACUGCGCACGCGCGAGCCGGCCGGCGCGCCCCCUGCAGGAGCUCCAGCCGCCCGGUCAGCCCCGCCGCGGGUUGCAGGUGCCCCCUCCCAGCCGGGCGGCCCAGCCGCUGUCACCACCGGCGGUCGUCGCCGCCGCCGCCGCGAGGCCGAGCGCAGCCGGGCCCGAGGCCGGGGACCCCGCGAGAGGGCAGCGCGCCGGCCGCCGCCGCCCUGGCGCCGAGGGUCGGUGAGUGCCGCCGGGACCCGCCACGCGCGCUCGCUUGCUCCGGAGGCUCGCGGCAGCCCCCCGCCCGGCCGCCUUCCUGCCGUGGCCGCCCCCCUCCCCCCGCCCAUCACUCUGCGGCCGUCCCCCUCCCGGCACCCCGCCCCGGCGCGGCAGGUGCACCUCCCGUGGAGGCAGCGCCUGGCCACCGAGACUCUGGCUUCCCCUCGGGCCGAGCCUCUGGGCGUGUCCCCCUCCUCGAGAGCGUCUCCCUCCCGCCGGCCCCCGAGCUGGACGCGCCGCCGCACCCUUUGUGCCGAGCCCGGGAGGGGGCACAGGCGGCACCCGCUGGCCUUGGUCCUGAGGCACCCGGAGCAUCCGCCCGCCCGAGCCUUGCAGCCCUCAGGCCGGGAGUCCCGGCAGGGCCGCCGGGAUGCUGCUGGCUCAUCCCUCGUUCAGAGAGAUUCCCAGUGUGGGUGGGAGUCCUUCCCCACCCUGGAGUCCGCCUCAUUCCCGGGAGCCAGAAUGGGGGGCCAGGGGUCCACUGUUCAUGCUGGGGGUUGUGUGGUGGACAGAAAGGCAGGGACGCCUGGCCUGGGUGGAGAGGCCUGCAACCGCUCUCAGUAACCUCUGGAGUCGGUAUGAAUUUGCGUUUACACCUGUGUUGGCGUUCAGGCAGUACACUGUCGCUUCGUGAGGGCCGGUUUUGUCUCCUGCACCAGGGUUUAGGACAGGUGUAUAUUUGGUUCACGAAUGAGUGCCUUGGUCACUUCCUUGGACGUCGCCUAAUUAAAACCCAUCACCUUACAGGGUUUAUUUCUGUGUGUUGGCUCCUUUGCCUCCUGAACUUCGAGCCCACUUACUGCCACGACUGGAUCGUGUCGGGCUCGCAUUCCCAGCACAUAGCCAGAGUCUGGCACAUAACAGGCACUCAAGAAACGCUUGUUGAAUGGGUGGCUGACACCCUGAGACAGAGCCAGGGCCUGGGCAAGGUGCAAAUGAAAGUCAGCCUGGCUUUUUUUUUCCUACCGAACACCUGUGUCAUUUGA
rnacentral:lncRNA from 1 species